rnacentral:lncRNA from 1 species
UGACUCACUGUAAAUGAAAAUGCAGGUUUAUGAUGUCAGUGUCAUUCCAGAAUUCUUCACAAUCUUCCAGAUUUGCUGCACAUCAGGUGAUUUCCAUGUAUUCUCAACAAAAAUACUCUGCUAGUGAUACAGCUCUAAUGAAUGGAGGAACACCAGGUUCUUGUCUCGCACGAUUUAGAUAAAACAACAUGGACACAUGUGGAGUGGAGCAGAGUUUAAUAAGCAAGAAAGAAAAGAGAAGGCAAAAGGAAGAGGCUCCCCAAUAAAGACACAGAGGGAGGGGGGCUCCAAAGCUAAAAGAGGAGACUCCACGUCCCACAGAUACCAGCCAGGUAUAAGAAGAGGCUGGAGGAGGCGGUGUUGGAUUUGCAUAGGACUCAGGGGAUUGCUUUGACCAGGCCUGUUUUUCACAUAGCUUCUAAAAAACUAGCCCUCCCACCCUAGCCUUUUAAUAUACAAACACAAGGCACCAUGAUGUUUUACAUAUGUGGGGAUAUGUGGGGACAGCCAUGUUGCCAGGCACAUGUGGGGCAAGGGCAAGAAGGCCAUGGGAAUUGCCAUUUUUGGGUGGACCCAGUCUCUAAUGGCCGACAUUCGCCUAUUAAAGGUUGCCUCCAUGGCUUUAAGAGCCUGGACUUUGCUUCUAGACAAGAAACGUUUUUGGAGCUGCUUUAAAAGAAACCAAAACGUUUCCUCUUUAUCUGCCUAAAAUAAUUUCUUAAAAACUCCUACCACAGUAAUUAUAAAAAGUCUUGGCCGGGUGUGGUGGCUCAUGCCUGUAAUCCCAGCACUUUGGGAGGCUAAGGUGGGCAGAUCACGAAAUCAAGAGAUGGAGACCAUCCUGGCCAGCAUGGUGAAAGCCCGUCUCUACUAAAAAUACAAAAAUUAGCUGGGCCGUGGUGGUGCAUGCCUGUAGUCCCAGCUACUUGGGAGGCUGAGGCAGGAGAAUUGCUUGAACCUGGGAGGCAGAGGUUGAAGUGAGCCGAGAUCACGCCACUGCACUCCAGCCUGGUGACACAGUGAGACUCUGUCUCAAAAAAAAUAAAAUAAAAUAAAAAAGUUUUGUUAUUUGAUAGAUCAAGACCUCUCACCUUGUUUUGUUCAAAAACUUG